GUUGAACGCUGGCGGCAUGCCUUACACAUGCAAGUCGAACGGUAACAGGUUAAGCUGACGAGUGGCGAACGGGUGAGUAAUGCAUCGGAACGUGCGCGAUCGUGGGGGAUAACGCAGCGAAAGCUGCGCUAAUACCGCAUACGAUCUGAGGAUGAAAGAGGGGGACCGCAAGGCCUCGCGCGAUCGGAGCGGCCGAUGUCAGAUUAGGUAGUUGGUGGGGUAAAGGCCGACCAAGCCGACGAUCUGUAGCUGGUCUGCGAGGGCGACCAGCCGCACUGGGACUGAGACACGGCGCAGACUACGACGGGGGGAAGCAGGGGGGAAGUUUGGACAAUGGGCGAAAGACGGCUCCAGCAAUGCCGCGUGGAGGAAGAAGGCCUUCGGGUUGUAAACUGCUUUUGUUCGUAGCGAAAAGGACCUUUCUAAUACAAGGGGCUCAUGACGGUACCGUAAGAAUAAGCACCGGCGAACUACGUGCCAGCAGCCGCCGCGGUAA
rnacentral:rRNA from 1 species